rnacentral:rRNA from 1 species
GACGAACGCUGGCGGCGUGCUUAACACAUGCAAGUCGAACGGAAACGCCCUGCUUUUGUGGGGUGCUCGAGUGGCGAACGGGUGAGUAACACGUGAGUAACCUGCCCUUGACUUUGGGAUAACCUCAGGAAACUGGGGCUCAUACCGGAUAGGAGCUCCUGCUGCAUGGUGGGGGUUGGAAAGUUUCGGCGGUUGGGGAUGGACGCGCGGCUUAUCAGCUUGUUGGUGGGGUAGUGGCUUACCAAGGCUUUGACGGGUAGCCGGCCUGAGCGGGUGACCGGCCACAUUGGGACUGGGAUACGGCCCAGACUCCUACGGGAGGCAGCAGUGGGGAAUAUUGCACUAUGGGCGGAAGCCUGAUGCAGCAACGCCGCGUGCGGGAUGACGGCCUUCGGGUUGUAAACCGCUUUCGCCUGUGACGAAGCGUGAGUGACGGUAAUGGGUAAAGAAGCACCGGCUAACUACGUG